UACAGCAAGAGCAAGAGCUGGGGCCUGGCGGGAACAUAACAGUUUGCGUAUUUUCCACCUACAUUAUCAAGCUACUGUGACAGCAAGUCAAAGAUUUUCAAAGCCAUCCCAGCCACUGUCCUGUCUCCCAACAAGUGCCAAGAGGCACUGAUUCAAUACUUCGCUGCCGCAGCCUAUAGGUGAAUGUUCUAGGUGAGAUUGGAGGGAUGAACACUGAUGAAUAUGUGAAGUGAGUAAUGAAGUUCAUAAUAAGUGACACACUGACCACAAAACUGAACAUGUCUUGAAGGAACAACAAGAAGGCAUUUGGCUCCACAAACUUAUUCGAGACUGUUUAGGGUAAGUAUUUUUUUCACAUUUCCUUAUCUAUCUAUCUAUUUUUAAAGUCAACACUCACACAUAGGUCUAUUAACUGUGAUUUAGUAAAACAGAAAAAAGUAAAACUUAACUAGAGGUGGGAGAGUUGGAUCAUCUCUAAGGAUGCCAUAAACAGCAGUAAAACAGGUCACAGCAUGCAUUCACUAC